AUACGUAGGGAGCAAGCGUUGUCCGGAAUUACUGGGUGUAAAGGGCGAGUAGGCGGGACAAAAAGUCAGAUGUGAAAACUAUGGGCUCAACCCAUAGCCUGCAUUUGAAACUUUUGUUCUUGAGAGAUGGAGAGGUAAGCGGAAUUCCUAGUGUAGCGGUGAAAUGCGUAGAUAUUAGGAGGAACACCAGUGGCGAAGGCGGCUUACUGGGCUUUAACUGACGCUGAGGCUCGAAAGCGUGGGUAGC
rnacentral:rRNA from 1 species